rnacentral:rRNA from 1 species
AGACCCGAAACCCGGUGAUCUAGCCAUGGGCAGGUUGAAGGUUGGGUAACACUAACUGGAGGACCGAACCGACUAAUGUUGAAAAAUUAGCGGAUGACCUGUGGCUGGGGGUGAAAGGCCAAUCAAACCGGGAGAUAGCUGGUUCUCCCCGAAAGCUAUUUAGGUAGCGCCUCGUGAAUUCAUCUCCGGGGGUAGAGCACUGUUUCGGCCAGGGGGCCAUCCCGGCUUACCAAUCCGAUGCAAACUGCGAAUACCGGAGAAUGUUAUCACGGGAGACACACGGCGGGUGCUAACGUCCGUCGUGAAGAGGGAAACAACCCAGACCGCCAGCUAAGGUCCCAAAGUCAUGGUUAAGUGGGAAACGAUGUGGGAAGGCCCAGACAGCCAGGAUGUUGGCUUAGAAGCAGCCAUCAUUUAAAGAAAGCGUAAUAGCUCACUGGUCGAGUCGGCCUGCGCGGAAGAUGUAACGGGGCUAAACCAUGCACCGAAGCUGCGGCAGCGAACGUAUCACCCAAGACAACUUUACACAG